rnacentral:lncRNA from 1 species
GAGAGAAGUUGUGUUCUAAUGUUCUCUGUUGUAUUCCUAAAAUCGUUAUAAUUGCUAUGUUUUGUUCCUUCGUAUUCAGUCUCUCUAUCUCAAUUUGUGAUAUUACAGUCAUUCUUGUAGCAGCUGAGCCGUAAUUUGAAGAUAUGUAUUUUAUAAACCACUAAGCCGCAGUUUGGUAGACAUGUGUUUAAUUUGCCACUGAGAUGUACUUUGGUCGGCAUGUGUUUUAUUUGCCACUAAGCCGCACUUUAAUAGACGUGUUUUAUUUGCCACUAAGCCGCACUUUAAUAGACGUGUUUAAUUUGCCGCUGAGGCGCACUUUGGUAGGCAUGUGUUUUUAUUUCCAGUUAGUCCGUACUUCUGUGGUAUAUGUGAUUUUGCCACUGAGCCUACUCUGUCCUCUUUACACCAUCUCCCCUCCCCUCCUUGUCUGUUAACGGAAUCUCCAUGGAUAUACAACAAAAGGAGAGACCGUUGUGGCCCGAUAUUCGUUGAUUCUUCGUACAAUCAUAGAGACAAAAAGCAUUUAGACUAUAUACGGACUAAAAUAUGAUCACAUAUCUGUUAUGCAUUGACACAUUUUAAAAACAUUUAUCAUAAUGUCAUCGGUAGGUUUAAUGAGAUUUACAAAUAUUUUAUUGAUAACUUUAAAUGUCUGGUAAAGAAACCAAUUUUCAUGCAUUGAAUUGACUAUCUCGCAUAAUAAAUUAUUUAACGUGUCUGUUCUAGUAUUCCCACAACAUGUGGAACUUGAAUGAAACUCUAUAUGGCUGAUACGUUUGGUAACUGGAGCGUGUAUUAAAGAAGAAGGGAAAAAAACCACAAAACACAAGAAAACCAAAUAAAAAAGAAGAUGUGGUAUGAUUGCCAAUGGGACAACUCACCACAAGAGACCAAUGACACAGAAAUUAACAACUAUAUGUCAGUGUGUGGCCUUCAACAAUGAGCAGAGCCCAUCCUGCAUAGUCAGCUAUUAAAGGCCCCGAAGUAAAAAAAUAGAAGGGAGGGUUAUCUUAUGGUUAUAAAAGAUGUUGCCCUUGUAAUGCAUGAUUGAUGUUCGAAAGUUCUUUAUUUCUAAAGAAAGAAAAAAUAUCAAUUUCUAUAAAUAUUUGUUCUUAAAAGAAAGAAACUUGAAAUAAUAAAAAAAAAAAAAAAAAAUAUUUUAUUUUUUUCUGUGUUGCAUGUUACAUACAUUGCAUAUUGACUCUCAAUCGACUUUUCAGACGGAACGGAACAUGAGAAAAACAGAUGCAAUUCAUAAAACAAACAAUCUAUUUUAAUGAACUAAUGCUAAAUCUGCAUGCC